UAAAACUAAAGAAGAAAUAGUCAUCAUGAUGGAGGAGGAGUUGGUAGUGCUACUCCCAGUGAGAGAGCCCCAGAGAACCUUGAUGAUGUUCAGGUGGGCAUAUUUAGAAAAUUUGCUUCCUGGUAAGUUACUUGAUGUGCUGGCUUGAAGGCAAAACCAGUGAGAGGCUCCAAGUCAGAAAAAACCAAUUUAAUAGGAGGGGAAAAAGAAGGUUUCCUAGUGAGUGGAUGGAAAGUGGAUGGCAGAGCCAAAGGACUGCAAAUUCAGAGCAGCCCCAUGGAUUUACAGAACUUGUCAAAGAAGUUGAACUAAAUUAUUUCAUGUGUUGUAAUAAAAAUUCAUCUGCUUCGAGGCUAACAAAACAGAGAAUAUUUGCUUACUCACAGGAAUUAAUUCUAUUGAGUUAGUGUAAAUGACACCUGAGGGGAAAGUUUUUAAUACUGUAGUAAAGAGGGUAAUCAGGAAGCAGCAAGUGAGGAAAGUUUGAGAAGUGUCAAAUUGCUCUAAAAAUGGCAUAACCUAUGGCCAGAAGACUGGUACCUCAGCGACAAAGCACAUUCAGAAUUGCUAGUUUCUAAAAGCUGAAACUCUUAUUGGCCAUGUGACCUGAAUUUAGACAAAAAUAUAACAAUGAUAACUCAGAACUGGUUAGAAAUAUUCAAUAAAUAUCUACAAAAACUAGUCUGUACUUAUCUUUGGUUCUCUGCUUGUUUACAUAAUGUAAGAAGUUCAGUGAAGCAUUUCGCUCUCCAUAAGUACCCUGUUCAUCCCUUGGCACUCUCUAGGGAACAGCAAGGGACUAAAAGAAUAUAAAUAAAAACUGGUUUUACUGCCCUUCAGUCCAAUUUCUCAUGGGCUCACACAGCAUUAUGUGCAUGGAGCCCUGUGCUUUAUUGAGUCUGUCUUCAAAUGGGUUUUGGAGCCCUGUCCCUUACAGGAGAGGUGCAGGUCAAAGGGUUCCUCAGUAGCAGCUGUUAAUAUUCUGUAUUCUCCAGAUCAAAAUAAUAUGUGAAAAUCCUUCUGGGAUCAUUGAUAAGUUUUCAAGAUCAUGACAAACUUUCCCAAAAUGAAAUAGAACAAGUUUGCAACAUUCAAAUAUGUUAAAGAGGCUGUUCUUAGUAGUUCUUGACCAGUGUGGCA